UCGUAACAAGGUUUCCGUAGGUGAACCUGCGGAAGGAUCAUUAACGAAUUUAAUUAUCAUCUUAUUAUGUGAACUUUUAAUCCCUUUGUGGAUUAGAAAUGCUUCGGUGCUGGGUAAAAAUUUAUAUUUUUACCAGGCGCCGGUAGAAAACUCAUUUAAACUUUAUGUCUAAACUAAAAAUUUUAAUAAAUUAAAACUUUCAACAACGGAUCUCUAGGUUCUCGCAUCGAUGAAGAACGCAGCGAAAUGCGAUACGUAUUGUGAAUUGCAGAUUUUUGUGAAUCAUCGAAUCUUUGAACGCACAUUGCACCUGGUGGUAUUCCGCCAGGUAUGCCUGUUUGAGCGUCAUUUCUCUCUCACUCCGGUGGUUUUGCUGUUUAUCAUUUUUUCGGAAAUGUACAGUGAAAAGAAAUGGCAAGGCUCUAGUUCUUACGAAAUGUUUUAGGUUCUACCAACUACAUUCUCUAAGUUCUAAUAAAGUCGGCUUGAUAAUUCUUUCAAUGUUGACCUCAAAUCAGGUAGGACUACCCGCUGAACUUAAGCAUAUCAAUAA
rnacentral:misc_RNA from 1 species